AUCCCAUGGUGAGGACACUUACAAAGUAAUUCCUUGAAUCUUUCCCAUGCCUCAUAUAAAGACUCAUUAUCCAAUUGUCGAAAAAUGGUUAUUUCAUUUCACAAUUU
rfam:Gossypium arboreum cultivar AKA8401 contig_96329_1, whole genome shotgun sequence.